rnacentral:rRNA from 1 species
UACGUAGGGUGCAAGCGUUAAUCGGAAUUACUGGGCGUAAAGCGUGCGCAGGCGGUUUUGUAAGUCUGUCGUGAAAUCCCCGGGCUUAACCUGGGAAUGGCGAUGGAGACUGCAAGGCUAGAGUUUGGCAGAGGGGGGGUAGAAUUCCACGUGUAGCAGUGAAAUGCGUAGAGAUGUGGAGGAACACCGAUGGCGAAGGCAGCCCCCUGGGUCAAAAACUGACGCUCAUGCACGAAAGACGUGGGGAGCAAACAGG